UUAUUUGUUCAAAAACAUAUUAGGGUGUAGUUUUUGGCAAAACAGAAUACCUGAAAGGUUACCCCGUUAAGAUAGGCAAAAUGCCCUCACUACCAGAAUUCAAUUACUCUAUAUCGUCGCUGACUUACAAAAAGGUGCCAAGUAACAUUUUAUUCAAAAGAGGUGUUAUGUGCAAAAAUGAUAGGUACGAAGGUUCUACCUAUUGUGAAAAAAGGGGUCAAGUGAAUUACUUAUUGUUGUUGAGAUAGUCUCAUAAUUUUUUGGUGCCAAGUAACAUAUUUUUUUUAAACUGAUUGUGUAAAAAGGAACUAAGUUCCACUUAGUAAAAAUAUAAAAAUGUUACUUGGCCCUUGGCCCCCUUUGCAAAUCAGCGACGAUAUGAUUAAAAAAUAAGACUUGAGCUGUUUUAUUACUUAUUUGUUCAAAAUAUAUUAGGGUGUAGUUUUUGGCAAAACAGAAUACCUGAAAGGUUACCCCAUUAAGAUAGGCAAAAUGCCCUCACUACCAGAAUUCAAUUACUCUAUAUCGUCGCUGACUUACAAAAAGGUGCCAAGUAACAUUUUAUUCAAAAGAGGUGUUAUGUGCAAAAAUGAUAGGUACGAAGGUUCUACCUAUUGUGAAAAAAGGGGUCAAGUUAAUUACUUAUUGUUGUUGAGAUAGUCUCAUAAUUUUUUGGUGCCAAGUAACAUAUUUUUUUUAACUGAUUGUGUAAAAAGGAACUAAGUUCCACUUAGUAAAAAUAUAAAAAUGUUACUUGGCCCCCUUUGCAAAUCAGCGACGAUAUGAUUAAAAAAUAAGACUUGAGCUGUUUUAUUACUUAUUUGUUCAAAAACAUAUUAGGGUGUAGUUUUUGGCAAAACAGAAUACCUGAAAGGUUACCCCAUUAAGAUAGGCAAAAUGCCCUCACUACCAGAAUUCAAUUACUCUAUAUCGUCGCUGACUUACAAAAAGGUGCCAAGUAACAUUUUAUUCAAAAGAGGUGUUAUGUGCAAAAAUGAUAGGUACGAAGGUUCUACCUAUUGUGAAAAAAUAGGUCAAGUUAAUUACUUAUUGUUGUUGAGAUAGUCUCAUAAUUUUUUGGUGCCAAGUAACAUAUUUUUUUUAAACUGAUUGUGUAAAAAGGAACUAAGUUCCACUUAGUAAAAAUAUAAAAAUGUUACUUGGCCCCCUUUGCAAAUCAGCGACGAUAUGAUUAAAAAAUAAGACUUGAGCUGUUUUAUUACUUAUUUGUUCAAAAACAUAUUAGGGUGUAGUUUUUGGCAAAACAGAAUACCUGAAAGGUUACCCCAUUAAGAUAGGCAAAAUGCCCUCACUACCAGAAUUCAAUUACUCUAUAUCGUCGCUGACUUACAAAAAGGUGCCAAGUAACAUUUUAUUCAAAAGAGGUGUUAUGUGCAAAAAUGAUAGGUACGAAGGUUCUACCUAUUGUGAAAAAAGGGGUCAAGUGAAUUACUUAUUGUUGUUGAGAUAGUCUCAUAAUUUUUUGGUGCCAAGUAACAUAUUUUUUUUAACUGAUUGUGUAAAAAGGAACUAAGUUCCACUUAGUAAAAAUAUAAAAAUGUUACUUGGCCCCCUUUUGCAAAUCAGCGACGAUAUGAUUAAAAAAUAAGACUUGAGCUGUUUUAUUACUUAUUUGUUCAAAAACAUAUUAGGGUGUAGUUUUUGGCAAAACAGAAUACCUGAAAGGUUACCCCAUUAAGGUAGGCAAAAUGCCCUCACUACCAGAAUUCAAUUACUCUAUAUCGUCGCUGACUUACAAAAAGGUGCCAAGUAACAUUUUAUUCAAAAGAGGUGUUAUGUGCAAAAAUGAUAGGUACGAAGGUUCUACCUAUUGUGAAAAAAGGGGUCAAGUUAAUUACUUAUUGUUGUUGAGAUAGUCUCAUAAUUUUUUGGUGCCAAGUAACAUAUUUUUUUUAACUGAUUGUGUAAAAAGGAACUAAGUUCCACUUAGUAAAAAUAUAAAAAUGUUACUUGGCCCCCUUUUGCAAAUCAGCGACGAUAUGAUUAAAAAAUAAGACUCCUUAGACGGAGUCCUUUUAGGACAUUAAGAAAAUUAGGCGAAAUACGAAAUGCGAAUUUUUAAAAAACAUGUUUUUUGAAUGUCCUAAACUCCUAAAGUGCUCAUUUAAUGCAAAUUAUAUGUAACAUAAAAAACCUUGAUUUGAUCUAUUUUAAAGUCUAUUAUAAAUUGGAGAAAAUCCCCCAAACACCUAAUAAACAGUUUUUCAGUUUUUAAAGCUGGCGCACCUUACGGAAAAAUCGGUAAUAAAUUUUUUGAUAAAAUACUCAAAAUAAUAAAAAUAGACAUGCAGCCAUUUCCAUAAAAGUUAUACGCUGUUUUCGAAAAAAAAAGAAUGCAUUUUUAGGUUAUAUACAGCUGCGGCUAUUGAUUAGUUUACAGCCUUACGUAUCACCCAGGAAAGGUUGAUUAAAAUUAAAAAAUCAAAAUAAAAGGUAAAAAAAAUCAAAAUAAAUGUAAAAAAUGAAAGUGUAAACUAUUCAGUAACCGCAGCUGUACAUUCAACCUACGGGUCUAUAAAAAUAGACAAUUUUAUAAAAGCCUCAACUAUGUGUGUAAAUUGUUUCCUCUUCAUGUGCCUUGUCCGUUCCGAACGUUGGCAAUUAACAUGGCUAUUCUGACUUUGUUUACGGCAGUUCUGAAUAGUUCAGCAGAUGACAAUCCGAACCAUUGCCGCAAGUUUUGAAGCCACUGAGGAGUGUCUCCUCCUCCCUGGAAUCCUUCUGCUGUCUAUUUUACCUUGGAUGAUUAGCUGUAGUAGGUACUCUAUAUUUAUUGUGCCUCAUAAUGUGAUCCAAGUAAAUUGUUUGAAAUUUUUAAAUUGAUUACAACCCACCGAAAAAAAAAAUAAAUACGAAAAAAUGUUUUAGGGUGAGGGGGAGGAGGGUGGCGGUCUAAAAUUGCAUAUUAUUAAACACAAAACGUAAAAAAAUAAAAAAAUAAAAGAAUGUGUGUGUACUUUGUACGCACGUAAGAAGAUAUUCUUCUAUUAUAUAAUAGGUAAUUUAAACGAAGUAAAUAUACUUAAAAGGUUAUUUGUACUUAUUUUAUUUAAAAAUCAAACUAACUUUCUUAUCUACCACUUUAAAAAAAAGAAUAUCUUCAAAAAUUAUAUAAUAAUAUACUUACAAUCAUAAAAUCUAUAAAAAAAAUAAUAACUUGCUUGGGGCUUGAACCCACUUCACGUCUACUGCGCCGUACGAAAGUUGACGCCAUUUCAAACUGCACCAAACUCUCGUAUACGUCAUGUGGGAAUAUACACAAACUAAACGUUUACACCAUAAAUUUAUAUGAAUUUAAUAAAAUUAUUAGUUUGAUUUUUGUCGAAAUAAAAUACAACAAAAUAUAGAGUAAGAAAACGAUAUAUGAGAUGAAGAUUUGUAGAAAGUUUGUUCGUAAUCAGAUUAUGUAAAUUAAAGCAUUGCCCACUAAUAGGUAACUACAUUAUUUUGUUUACAUUUUCCAAAUAGAUAGGUAUUGAAACUACAUAUUAGGUAUUUCCAACUGAAACAUUUAGAAUUACGUACCUGCGGCUUUUCAAAACUAUUUAAAAAGUCACUAUAAUUAUAAAUUUGAUUUUAUUUCUGUCCACACAUCAAUAAAAACUAAUAUACAAUAUUUUUGUUUACCGAUAACCUCCAUAUUGAACAAUUAUUGACAGAUCAUUUCAAAAUUUCAACACCCAAUCAGAGCCCGUAUAACAACUAAUACCAUACUGUCGGUGUGCGCAUGCGCGCGGAUCAAUCAAAUUUUACCCUCAAUCGAUUCGCCGCUAAAGAAGAUUAUUUUCAAAAAUUAUUCAGGCCGUAUCGAUCUCAAAAAAUAUGAUAACCCUGCAAAAAAUCCCAAAAACACUUAAAAAUCAUGACAAAACAUGGUUUUUGGGAGUUUAAAGGUGUUCGCCCAAUUUUUGAAUGUCCUAAAGGACUCAGUGACUUCAAGUUAUAUAUGUAGUAGGCAAGUAUGAAAUGCACAAGAAUCUACAGGUCGAGCAAGUCUCGUAAAUUUCACGAUUGCGAGCCACGCUUCACGCAACCGUGUUUGCGUACUUGUGUUUCGAGUUGCGUGGUCGUGCGGAGUUAUAUUUACCAAAUUUAAAUAUAAUCGUUUCUUUUCUACUUCUACUUGUACUGAUUCAAUAAUAUAUGUCAAUAUGGCUACUGGGUGUAAAAGAUAAAUCUUAUUCUAUCUGUUCUUAAUGAGUUUUAGAUAAUUUUAGUUGUAUUUCUUUGUAAUUUUGUGUUGUACAAAGAUUAAUUUAACAUUUUCUCUGGAAGUAUUAAUUUAGAAAGAUAAUAUGCUUCAUUGGUGUUGUGUUUUGAAGUGUGAAAUGCAAAGUAAUUGUGAUAAAGUCAAGAUAAAGUUCACUUUUAAACUGAACUAAAUAAGGUAUCUGAGAGACAACAAUGGUUAAAUGCAAUACAAUGUACAGGUUUUACUAGCGAAAUGAAAAUUUUCCUGUCCUGUCUGCUGUAAUCAUUUUAUAUCUGGAAAACCAGCCGACUUAAUCGAUAAUAACAAUCUCCAGAUUGGGUUCCUUCAAUAAAUAUGGGCUAUAAACACAAUGAAAUAAGUUCCCCAAAAUCUAAAAUGGAGUGGUAUCAAAGGAGAAUUAAAGGAAAAAAUAUUCAUAUUGAAAUUAUUUAUAAGGCACUGGACUGUCUUAAAUUCUACAACAAUACUAGAAUCAGCUGAGAGAAGUGGUCUACAAAAAACCAGGAAGGAAACGGAAUAUGUGGCUACGAAAGGCAAAAGAAAGGUUUACAAAGCAAAUGUGACACAUUUUUUUGAAAUAUUUAGGAAUAUCAGUAAAUUGCAUUAAAAAAAUGUAUGAAAAGAUUUUGUUCAAUAAAAAUGUUUAUAUUUAUCAAGGAUGUAUUAUUUGGUAUGGCCACAUAUCGUCAGUGAUGUAAUAAUACAUCCUAUCUGUUUUUUCAUGAGUUUUGUAAGAGAGACUAAAAACUUGUCUUAGG